AUUGCUAUGAUGAGCUGCUAACACGUAAGAAGAUCCUUUCAACCAAAUUGGGUCUUCGAUGAAGUGCCUUUGUUACGCUUGGCUUCUGAGCAAU
rfam:Musa acuminata subsp. malaccensis Doubled-haploid Pahang (DH-Pahang) genomic chromosome, chr7